CUCGCCUUGGAGAGGCUGGUCGGAGGCAGGGCGACGGGGACCGGCGGACUUCGGCGGCGCAGAGGAGGCGGCGGCCGCUCGCAGCCCGGGGGCUCGGGGGACGCGAUGUGGCGGGGGCGGCUGCUGGGGAUCGCCCUGGGAGUUGCCGUGCUCUGGGCGUCCCAGGCGGGCGCCGCCGCCGCCGGGCACGGCGAGGGGGUGAGCGCCAAGGAGAGCCGGUCCAGCCGGGCCAAGAGGCGAGGGCACGGCGGCGGGCACGACGCGCUCAAAGGGCCAAAUGUAUGUGGAUCACGUUACAAUGCCUACUGUUGCCCUGGAUGGAAAACUUUACCUGGUGGAAACCAAUGCAUAGUCCCAAUCUGCAGACAUUCCUGUGGGGAUGGAUUUUGCUCUAGACCAAACAUGUGCACAUGCCCAAAUGGUCAGAUAGCCCCCUCCUGUGGUUCAAAAUCAAUACAACACUGUAACAUCCGGUGCAUGAAUGGAGGGAGCUGCAGUGAUGACCAUUGCCUCUGUCAGAAGGGAUACACAGGAACACACUGUGGACAGCCUGUCUGUGAAAAUGGAUGUCUAAAUGGCGGGAGAUGUGUGGCUCCAAACCGAUGUGCCUGCACGUAUGGCUUUACUGGACCCCAGUGUGAAAGAGAUUACAGGACCGGCCCUUGCUUCACUUUGGUGACCAACCAGAUGUGCCAGGGGCAGCUCAGUGGAAUAGUCUGCACAAAAACCCUCUGCUGUGCCACUGUGGGGAGGGCGUGGGGCCACCCCUGCGAAAUGUGUCCUGCCCAGCCCCAUCCCUGCCGCCGGGGCUUCAUUCCAAACAUCCGAACGGGGGCCUGUCAAGAUGUGGAUGAAUGCCAAGCCAUCCCUGGGAUCUGUCAAGGGGGAAAUUGCAUUAAUACUGUUGGAUCUUUUGAGUGCAAAUGCCCAGCUGGACACAAGUUUAAUGAAGUGACACAAAAAUGUGAUGAUAUUGAUGAAUGCAGCACCAUUCCUGGAAUCUGUGAUGGAGGAGAAUGUUCAAACACAGUAAGCAGUUACUUCUGCAAGUGUCCUCCAGGGUUUUAUACAGCUCCUGAUGGCUUAAAAUGCAUAGACGUGCGUCCUGGAUUCUGCUUCUCCACCCUGAGCAACGGGCGCUGUGGGAAUCAGCUCCCCCAGCCCAUGUCCAAGAUGCAGUGUUGCUGUGACAGCGGCCGCUGCUGGUCCUCCAGUCCAGCCAGUGCUCCCGAAAUGUGCCCCAUCAGAUCCACCGAUGAGUAUCGCAAGUUGUGCACAGUAGCUGCUCUGCUGCCAGCAAGACCUGACCUUCCUCCGGCCCGUCCUGACGUCAUCCCUCCACCACUCAUUCCUGGUGUUUUCCCUCCUCCACAGCCAGAAAUUGUCUAUCCAUCUCGGGCUCCACCACCUCAUGUGAUCUUGCCGGUGAACUUAACUGACUUGUGCCAAACAUACCGACAUCUCUGCCUUAAUGGACGUUGUAUUCCCACUCCUGGGAGCUACCGCUGCGAGUGCAACAAAGGAUUCCAACUGGAUGGUAGAGGGGAAUGCAUUGAUAUUGAUGAAUGUGAGAGGAGUCCAUGCAUUGGUGGAGACUGUGUGAACACCCCAGGAUCCUACAUCUGCCAGUGUCGUGUCGGAUACCAGAGCACAGCCACGAGAACAGAGUGCAGAGACAUUGAUGAAUGUUUACAGAAUGGUCGGAUCUGUAAUAAUGGACGAUGCAUAAAUACAGAUGGCAGUUUUCACUGUGUGUGCAAUGCUGGCUUCCAAGUGGCAGUUGAUGGGAAAAACUGUGAAGAUAUGGAUGAAUGCAGCAUAAGGAACAUUUGCCUCAAUGGGAUGUGCAUCAAUGAAGAUGGCAGUUUUAAAUGCAUUUGUAAACCAGGGUUCCAGCUGGCAUCUGAUGGACGCUAUUGCACAGACAUCAAUGAGUGUGAGACAGAUGGAAUAUGCAUGAACGGGCGCUGUGUGAACACUGAUGGCUCUUUCAGAUGUGAAUGUUUCCCUGGCCUUGCAGUGGGACUGGACGGACGUGUCUGUGUUGACACACAUAUGCGAAGCACAUGCUACGGUGGCUACAAGAGAGGACAAUGUGUGAGACCAUUAACGGGAGCAGUUACAAAGUCAGAGUGCUGCUGUGCCAGCACUGACUAUGCCUUUGGAGAGCCUUGCCAGCCCUGCCCAGCACAAAAUUCAGCUGAAUAUCAGGCUCUGUGCAGCAGUGGAACUGGCAUGACUGCAGGAGGAAAUGAUAUUAAUGAGUGCUUAUUGGAUCCUGAUCUCUGUCCAAAUGGAAGGUGUGAGAAUCUGCAUGGAACGUACAAAUGUUUUUGUGACCCUGGAUAUGAAGUAGAUUCAACUGGGAAAAACUGCAUCGACAUUGAUGAAUGUGCACUGAACAUGCUGCUUUGUGACAAUGGGCAAUGCAGAAACACCCCAGGAAGUUUCACCUGCACCUGUCCAAAAGGAUUUGUGUACACUCCUGAUCUAAAGACAUGUGAAGAUAUUGAUGAGUGUGAAUCCAACCCCUGUGUUAAUGGAGUGUGCAAAAACACACCAGGCUCUUUUGCUUGUGAAUGUUCUCCUGAAAGUACUUUGGAUCCAACCAGAACCAUCUGCAUAGAAACUGUUAAGGGUACCUGUUGGCAGAACAUAGUGAAUGGAAGGUGUGAAAUAAAUAUCAAUGGAGCAACUCUGAAGUCCCAGUGCUGUUCCUCACUGGGUGCUGCCUGGGGAAGCCCAUGUACACCAUGUGAACGAGACCCAAUAUGUCAAAAGGGAUAUUCGAGAAUAAGAGGAACAUUGUGUGAAGAUGUAAAUGAAUGCGAGGUGUUUCCUGGAGUUUGUACAAAUGGGCAGUGUGUCAAUACCUUGGGAUCGUUUGUUUGCCAGUGCCCCAAUGGAAUGACUUUAGAUGCUUCUGGGCGGACUUGUCUUGACAUUCGCUUGGAGAGCUGCUACCUGCAGCACGAGGACGAGCAGUGCAGUGCCCAGAUCCCAGGCCGGCACCGGAUGGAUGCCUGCUGCUGCUCCGUGGGGGCAGCCUGGGGCUACGAGUGUGAGGAGUGUCCUCUGAAGGGAUCUCCCGAGUUCGAAGCUCUUUGUCCAAGGGGCCCUGGGUUCUCCACGAAGAUAGAGAUAAGUGGGAAACCUUUCUCCAAAGACAUCAAUGAAUGUAAAAUGUUCCCCAGCCUUUGUACCCAUGGAAAAUGCAGAAAUACCAUUGGCAGUUUUAAGUGUAGAUGUGACAGUGGAUUUGCCCUGGAUUCUGAAGAGAGGAACUGCACAGAUAUCGAUGAGUGCCGCAUCUCUCCUGAUCUUUGUGGCCAAGGCAUCUGUGUCAAUACUCCUGGAGACUUUGAGUGUGAAUGUUUUGAAGGCUAUGAAAGUGGAUUUAUGAUGAUGAAAAACUGCAUGGACAUCGACGAGUGCCAGCGCAACCCCCUUCUCUGCCGAGGCGGCACCUGCAUCAACACAGAGGGAAGUUUUCGGUGCGAUUGUCCUCCAGGCCAUCAGAUAUCACCAAAUAUCUCUGCAUGUGUAGACAUUAAUGAGUGUGACCUGAGCACCAACCUGUGUCGAAAUGGCCGUUGUGUCAACCUGAUUGGAAAGUACCAGUGUGCUUGCAACCCUGGGUAUCAGUCCACACCUGACAAGUUAUACUGUAUUGAUAUCGAUGAGUGCAGUAUAAUGAAUGGUGGCUGUGAGAACUUCUGUACUAACUCGGAGGGCAGCUAUGAAUGUAGCUGUAAACAAGGCUUUGCCCUCAUGCCAGACCACAGGACAUGCACUGAUAUUGAUGAGUGUGAAGACAAUCCUAACAUCUGUGAUGGAGGCCAGUGUACAAACAUCCCAGGAGAGUACAGGUGUCUUUGCUAUGAUGGGUUCAUGGCAUCUGAAGACAUGAAGACUUGCAUAGAUGUUAAUGAGUGUGAUCUGCAUCCAAACAUCUGUCUGAGUGGAACCUGUGAGAAUACAAAAGGCUCAUUUAUCUGUCAUUGUGACAUGGGAUAUUCAGGCAAGAAAGGCACAACUGGCUGCACAGAUAUCAAUGAGUGUGAAAUUGGAGCCCAUAACUGUGACAGACACGCCAUAUGUACAAACACAGCAGGAAGUUUCAAAUGUAGCUGCAGCCCUGGCUGGAUUGGAAAUGGUAUCAAGUGCACAGAUCUGGAUGAGUGCUCCAAUGGAACCCACAUGUGCAGCCCACAUGCUGACUGCAAGAAUACAAUGGGCUCUUACCGCUGCCUCUGUAAAGAAGGUUAUACUGGGGAUGGCUUCACUUGUACAGACCUUGAUGAAUGCUCAGAAAACCUGAAUCUCUGUGAAAAUGGGCAGUGCCUCAAUGCCCCUGGAGGGUAUCGCUGUGAAUGUGAUAUGGGAUUUUUGCCAAGUGUAGAUGGGAAAGCAUGUGAAGAUAUUGAUGAGUGCUCACUUCCUAACAUCUGUGUCUACGGUACCUGUCAUAACCUUCCGGGACUUUUCCGCUGCGAGUGUGAAGUGGGCUAUGAGUUGGACAGAAGUGGUGGAAACUGCACAGAUGUUAAUGAAUGUGCAGAUCCUACGACCUGCAUUAGUGGCACAUGUAUCAAUACUGCUGGUAGCUACACCUGUGAGUGCCCUCCUGAUUUUGAGCUGAAUCCCACCCGAGUUGGAUGUGUUGAUACCCGAUCUGGCAACUGUUACCUGGACAUUAAAACUCGUGGAGAUAACGGUGGCACCUUCUGCAGCAACGAGAUUGGAGUGGGUGUUUCCAAGGCCUCCUGUUGCUGCUCCCUGGGCAAGGCUUGGGGAGUUCCCUGUGAGCAUUGCCCAGCUGUGAACACAACUGAAUAUAAGGUUCUUUGCCCUGGAGGGGAAGGAUUCCGACCAAACCCUAUUACAGUUAUAUUAGAAGAUAUUGAUGAAUGUCAAGAGCUGCCUGGACUUUGCCAAGGAGGAAAAUGUAUUAAUACAUUUGGUAGCUUCCAGUGUCAGUGUCCAUCAGGGUACUAUUUGAAUGAAGAAACUCGAGUGUGUGAUGAUGUGAAUGAGUGUGAUACACCUGGCAUUUGUGGACCUGGAACAUGUUACAAUACUGUUGGGAAUUACACCUGCAUCUGUCCUCCUGAUUACAUGCAAGUCAAUGGAGGAAACAACUGCAUGGAUAUGAGAAGAAGUCUGUGUUACAGAAAUUACUAUCCUGACAAUCAAACCUGUGAUGGUGAGCUGCUCUUCAAUAUGACCAAGAAAAUGUGCUGCUGUUCCUACAACAUUGGACGUGCAUGGAAUAAGCCUUGUGAACAGUGUCCUAUCCCGAGCACAGAUGAAUUCUCCACACUCUGUGGAAGUCAAAGGCCUGGCUUCUUCAUUGACAUUUAUACAGGAUUACCAGUUGAUAUUGAUGAAUGCAGAGAGAUUCCUGGAGUGUGUGAAAAUGGGAUCUGUAUAAACAUGGUUGGCAGUUUCCGGUGCGAGUGUCCCGUGGGAUUCUUCUACAAUGACAAGCUGCUGGUCUGCGAAGAUAUUGAUGAAUGCCAGAAUGGACCAGUUUGUCAGCAAAAUGCAGAGUGUGUCAACACAGCUGGCAGCUACCGCUGUGACUGCAAACCUGGCUACAGGUUCACCUCAACGGGUCGCUGCACUGAUCGGAAUGAAUGCCAAGAAAUUCCCAAUAUCUGCAGCCACGGGCAGUGUAUUGACACUGUUGGAAGUUUCUACUGCAUUUGUCACAAUGGAUUCAAGACCAAUGAUGACAGAACAAUGUGUAUAGAUAUUAAUGAGUGUGAGAGAGACGCCUGUGGCAACGGGACCUGCAGAAACACCAUUGGCUCCUUCAACUGCCGCUGCAAUUUGGGGUUCAUCCUCUCCCACAACAAUGACUGCAUAGAUGUGGACGAGUGUGCAAGUGGAAAUGGAAUGCUCUGCAGGAAUGGUCAGUGUGUGAACACCAUUGGGUCCUUCCAGUGUCUCUGCAAUGAUGGCUAUGAGGUGGCUCUGGAUGGAAGGACUUGUGUUGAUGUCAACGAGUGUGCACUGGAUCCUGGAAAAUGUGCACCAGGCACAUGUCAAAACUUGGAUGGCUCUUUCAGAUGUAUCUGUCCUCCUGGAUAUAUCCUGCAGAAUGACAAAUGUGAAGACAUUGAUGAGUGUGUGGAACAGCCAGAAAUUUGUGCCCUGGGCACAUGCAGCAACACUCCAGGCAGUUUCAAAUGUCUGUGUCCGGAAGGCUUUGUAUUGUCUUCCACAGGAAGGCGAUGCCAAGAUCUGAGAGUAAGUUACUGCUUUACCAAGUUUGAAGAUGGAAAAUGUUCUGUGCCGAAGUCCCGAAACCACUCCAAACAAGAGUGUUGCUGUGCCUUAAAGGGGCAGGGAUGGGGAGAUCCCUGUGAGCUCUGCCCAGAGGAAGCAGAUGAGGCAUUCAGACAGAUUUGUCCAUUUGGAAUUGGCAUCCUUGUUGGACCUGGGGAUGCAAGACUGGAUGUGGAUGAGUGCCUUGAUCCAGAUAACUGUAAAUUUGGGCAGUGUAUCAACACAGAUGGGUCCUUCCGCUGUGAGUGUCCGUAUGGUUACAUCCUACAGGGAGCAGAAUGUGUGGAUACUGAUGAAUGUGCUGUUGGAAACCCAUGUGGAAAUGGAACCUGCAGGAAUGUGGUGGGAGGUUUUGAAUGCACCUGUGUUGAGGGCUUUGAGCCUGGGCCGAUGAUGACCUGUGAAGACGUCAACGAGUGCAUCCAGAACCCUCUGCUCUGCGCCUUCCGCUGCGUGAACACUUUUGGAUCCUACGAAUGCAAGUGCCCCGGGGGGUACGUUCUGCGGGAGGACCGGAGAAUGUGCAGAGAUCAGAAUGAGUGUGAAGAAGGAAUUCAUGACUGUGACUCAAAACAGAUGGAGUGCAAAAACCUAAUUGGUACCUAUAUGUGUAUCUGUGGACCUGGUUAUCAGCGCAGACCAGAUGGGGAAGGCUGUAUAGAUGAGAAUGAAUGUCAGACCAAACCUGGGCUCUGUGAGAACGGCCGUUGUGUGAACACAGUGGGCAGUUACAGGUGUGAGUGCAACGAGGGAUUCACCGUCAGCGAUGCCCAGGACGAGUGCCUUGAUAUCACGCUCUCUUUCUCACUGCUGAUAGUCUUUCACUCUCAGUUCCACAGUCUCAGGGUGAAGUAUGCCCUUUCUGUUAUAUUUCUGACUAAAUUCCCAGUAUCUCGUGACCCUCUGGAGGUCGUCACCAUUAGGAUUCUCUGUGAUGCACCAUUUGUCUUCCAGACAACAGGGAAGGCUACUGCUUCAUUGAAGUCUUACAAAGUAUGUGUCAAAUCGGAUCAAGCAACAGGAACUCUGUCACCAAGUCUGAAUGCUGCUGUGAUGGAGGCCGAGGCUGGGGGCAAAACUGUGAGGUCUGUCCCUUCCCAGGCACCGUGGCCUUUAAGAAGCUUUGCCCUCAUGGCCGAGGAUACACGUCUAACGGAGCAGAUAUUGAUGAGUGCAAGGUUAUUCACGAUGUUUGCCGCAACGGGGAAUGCAUCAAUGAGAGGGGAUCUUACCGUUGUCACUGCAACCUUGGCUAUACUACAGAUAUAACUGGCACUCUCUGCAUAGAUCUGAAUGAAUGUAAUGAGUCUCCAAAACCUUGCAAUUUCAUCUGCAAAAACACAGAGGGGAGCUACCAGUGUUCCUGUCCUAAAGGAUACAUUCUGCAAGAAGAUGGGAGAAGCUGCAAAGAUCUUGAUGAAUGUGCAACAAAGCAGCACAACUGCCAGUUCCUUUGUGUCAACACCAUUGGGGGGUUCACUUGCAAAUGUCCUCCUGGCUUCACUCAGCACCAUACAGCCUGCAUUGAUAACAAUGAAUGUGCCACUGAAAUCAAUCUUUGUGGGCCGAAGGGCAUUUGCCAGAACACACCAGGAAGUUUUGUUUGUGAGUGUCAACGUGGCUUCUCACUCGAUCAAACUGGGCAGAGCUGUGAAGAUGUUGAUGAAUGUGAUGGAAACCACCGGUGUCAGCAUGGCUGCCAGAAUAUAAUUGGAGGAUACAGGUGUAGCUGCCCACAGGGAUAUCUCCAGCAUUACCAGUGGAACCAAUGUGUUGAUGAAAACGAGUGUCUCAGUGCACACAUUUGUGGAGGAGCAUCUUGCCACAAUACUUUGGGAAGCUAUAAAUGUAUGUGCCCUACCGGAUUUCAGUAUGAGCAGUUUAGUGGAGGUUGCCAAGAUAUCAAUGAAUGCGGUUCUGCACAAGCCCCAUGCAGUUAUGGGUGUUCAAACACUGAAGGUGGCUAUGUCUGUGGAUGUCCACCUGGUUACUUCAGAAUAGGACAAGGACACUGUGUUUCCGGAGUGGGGCUAGGCAGAGGUCAAGGACAAGAACUUUCACUCAGUGGAGAAGUAGACGACAACUCCCUCUCUCCAGAAGCUUGUUAUGAAUGUAAAAUCAACGGCUAUCCCAAGAGAGGAAGGAAGCGCAGAAGCACAAAUGAAACUGCAAGUGAAGCAGAGGAUCAGCAGGAGCUGCAGCCGCCAAUCAGUCUCGCCAGCUGGGAUAUUGAAAAAGCAGCAGUCUUCUCCAUCAACAUCUCGGAUCUCAGUAACAAAGAUCGCAUCCUGGAACUGCUUCCUGCCCUCACAACACUGACAAACCAUAACCGAUAUUUAAUUGACUCCGGAAAUGAAGAUGGUUUCUUUAGAAUCAAUAAGAAGGACGGGAUAAGUUACCUUCAUUUCACAAAGAAGAAGCCAGUGCCUGGAAACUAUUCAUUACAAAUCAGUAGUAUUCCACUCUAUAAAAAGAAGGAACUUAACCAGCUUGAAGCGAAACAUGACAAAGACUACCUCAGUGGUGAGCUGGGAGAUAACCUGAAAAUGAAAAUUCAGAUAUUGCUUCAUUAAUUCAUCCACCAAAGACCAAAUAAUUAAACCAAAGAUAGAUAGGUAGGACUGAAUAUUUCUCCCAAUCAGAUUCUCCAUAUCAUAGGUACAAUCUUACAUGAGUACAUUUGUAUGAAGGAGCACUAUUAUAUUUUUACAUAAACAAGGUACAGGAUGAAUACCCUAGCUCAACACUACCACUUUCUCAGGCUUUUACGUGUAGCUGAGCUACCUUGAUAUGUUGAAUCUUGAAAACUGGGACUUUUAUCAUUGGAAGUUGGCCACUGAUGCUGAAGACACGUCAUCAUUUCAGCAGAGGUACAAGAAUGUGCUUUCAACUGAUGGACAGCUCUAUUUUUGUAAUUCUUAAACUUCGCUUCUCCAACUACAACUUACUAGGUCAGCCAUUUAUGAUAUCCAUUUGGUGCUAGUAAAUUUUCAACCUAGAUUUAUAAAUGCACUGUAAUAUUUACACAACUUAGAAGCCAAAAUUGCCAUUAUUCAGUCUAAAUACUUCAAUCAACCAAAGUUAGCUCAGUAGUUUAUCUCAGUUAUGCCUAUAAUACAUUACAUGUAAAUUAAGUGUGUGUAUACUGUAAUCAUGCUAUUUUUAUCAAUGAAGCAUUUGUAAACUAGAUUAAUAAUACCCUUAAUGUGAGGGUUUGUAAUGGUGCUUAUAAGACCAACUACUUGUUAACUGUAUACACAAACCUGAUGAUAAAGUUUCUGUGACUUGCCAAAAUGCACUGAGGUCAGUAGGGACCAUUAAACAUUCUCAAAAGUCAGAUGACAAUCAGUGCCAUCGUACACCAUGACAUAUUGUAACGUGUCAAGAGUACCCAUAGUCAUUCAUAUCAACAAGGGUUCAAUGUCAUAAAUGUCACAAUAAAACAGUUUUUUUUUUUAGUUUA